ensembl:lncRNA
AGAUAAGUGGGUGGGAGAGCAACUCUGCCCAUGAGCCAGCAGCACCCAGGGGUGCAGAGAUCUGGGAGGGCGUCCAGAAGGGAUCACCCAGGGGUGCAGAGAUCUGGGAGGGAGCCAGCAGGCAGCACUCAGGGAGCAGAGAUCUGGGAGGGGCCCAGCAGGCAGCACCCAGGGAUGCAGAGAUCUGGGAGGGAACNGAGAUAAGUGGGUGGGAGAGCAACUCUGCCCAUGAGCCAGCAGCACCCAGGGGUGCAGAGAUCUGGGAGGGAGCCAGCAGGCAGCACUCAGGGAGCAGAGAUCUGGGAAGGGCCCAGCAGGCAGCACCCAGGGAUGCAUAGAUCUGGGAGGGAACCAACAGGCAGCACUCAGGGAGCAGAGUUCUGGGAGGGAAGUCAGCAGGCAGCACCUGGGGUGCAGAGAUCUGGGAAGGGGGCCAGGAGGCAGCACCCAGGGUGCAGAGAUCUGGGAAGGGGGCCAGCAGGCAGCACCCAGGGUGCAGAGAUCUGGGAGAGGGGCCAGCAGGCAGCACCUGGGGGUGCAGAGAUAUGGGGUGGCUUGGGCUGCGGUAGAAAUCCUGGAAAAGGGAAGAAGGAGACAGAUACAAAGAGAGAGGGAGAAGGAAAGAGGAGGAGGAGACAGAGAGAGAGGGAGAGCCCUGGGAGCCAGCAGCAUCGAGGGGAGCGGAGAGCCAGGGACAGGGAAGCAGGCAGGAGAGCGAGUGAGCUAAGCGAGCCUGGGCUGUGGGAGCCGGACUCUGGGGGGAGAGUUUCCCAGCCCUGGGAGCCAGCACCGAGGGGAGCAGAGAUCCGGGAAGAGAAGGAGGAGACCAGCCUGGGGAGUGCGAGCGAUACCAAGGGAAGCCCCGUGCGCAGAGAGACCAGAGACAGUGGAGCCCCGCAUGUGGGGAAUGCAGAUAGAGGGAGCGCAGUGACCUGAGGCAUUUGCAGUGUGUGGGAAGCAGAUAUUUUCUAAUCUCACUUCUGUUUAUUUUUGUAGCUGUCCCUCUGUAAAUAGAAUUGGUUUGGCAGCUCUGGCAGUACCGGCUGCAGCUUUGUUCCCCAGAAGGCCUGUUAGGCAGAUGGGUUUUUUAUGGUAGAUUGGGGUGGGGAAUGUCAUGCCUACGGGGUUAAAUGUGACCCACGGUGUCCUGUGGUAGCUGUGGCCCAAGGCCAGACUGGGUCUUGGCAGGAACUGCUCCCCUUUGGUCUUCAUGCAGGGCGCUCUGCUUCUUCAGGGGAGAUGAGCACUGCAGGGACUGGCUCCUUCCUGUGCUUACGAGGGCCAGUCCUGUGGCAGCUGCUGGAGAGAUGACAGUGGGAUUCUUGUUUGGGCCCCUUUUGGCCCUGCUGUGGAGCACAGAUGGGCUGGGCUUUUGGAGCCCGGGGUGGGCAGGCCCAGCUGCUGGGAUCCAAUUUGCAACACGUUUUGUUGGUGCCCUGAGUUCUGGGCUAAGGAAUUGCAGUUGUGAAAUAUGACACCUUUGCAUGCCCUGCUGUGUCAGUCCCGGCUGUGCCCCACAGGGGACCUGCCAGCCCUGGGCUCCCUGGGCUCCCAGCUCUGCCUGUGCCCCUGCUACCCCCUAUCGUCACUCUCCUGAGCAGAGCUUUGGAGGUCUUGCAAGGUCAGCCACCAUCCUUUCGGGACAAGGCUGAGCCACUCGUGUUAGCCUCGCUGAUGACCUGAAUUGCACCAUUUGCACGCGCAUCCACCGAAAGGAGAUGUUGCUGUACUGCAGGAGCGCCCCCACCCACCGCCCCCCAAAUCACUGGGCAUGACCGAUCCAUCCCAACCGUGGCAGCUGCUUCCUACUUCCCUCCUCCUGGCGGAAGGGGCUGGGCAAGUGGCAUCUGUCAGCCAGUGCGGGGAAGGGAGCUGGGCCAGUAGGGGAUGGGAGAUCAGGGCGAGGGAUAAAAGAGGGCCUAUUCUUAUACUGCAAAGCAAUUACCAGCGCCUUGCAAUCCUUAAUCUGCUCGAGUGCCCUGGUGCUAUUGGUUCCUUCCCUGAGCCUGGCAAAAGCUCUGUGCAGCUCCCAUCAUGUGUUGCCUGCAUCAAAGCCCUGCACCCUCUUGGCUGCGUGUGCUGCCGAGGGCCUCACCCGUGCUGCCCUGGGUGACGAACUGGGCCAGCUGCUCUGCGGCUGAGGCCUUGCCCUCCCGGAUGUGGGUGCUCGGGUCGUGGGCAGCCCCUCUCAGCACCUUCCUGGGGGGAUGUGGAGCCAGUGCGGGGGCUGGCCAUUGGUGGUGUGAGCCUUCCUCACCCUUGCUCAGCAAAGUCCUCAAGGGGAGUGGGAGCAGCAGCUGCCAGCCAGGAAGCCACCCAGUGCCACUGGUGAUGUGUGACCAUGACCACAGCUCUCUACCUCCAGGGACCACCCCAUGAUANUGAUGUGUGACCAUGACCACAGCUCUCUACAUCCAGGGACCACCCCAUGAUGAUUUUCCAUCACGGCAGAGCUAGGUUAGGACUUGUACCUCAGGAUCAAGGGCUCCUCUCCCACCCUGAUGUCCUGAGCCACCUAGUUCCCCUUGAGUUACUGAGGAUGUGGGGAGUGGCGGGUGCCACUGGAGUGGAACUGGUGUACUCCACGAGCACAGAUGGAUCUCGAAUACUCUGGGCGUAUUGCUACUGUGCAUGAAUGGUGGGGGUGGAGCUUGCCAAGCCUCUCCCGUCCAGGCCUCUCCCCAUCCCAGUCAUUGCUGCAGAACCUGCUCUGUUGCUCUGGCAGUGUGUGAGGUAAGGCUCUCUUGCAGGAGGAUAAAUUACUGAUAUUUACACUAACACUUUUCAUUUCAAGAACCCUAGGCACAUUUCAUGUACACUCAGGGGUCACUUAACCCUUCUCUGACAUGCAGCCACCUCUGGGGCGGAGCACAGCAGUGCUUAGCACAGCAAAUGAGAACAGGAAGUGGAGAAGAAUCCUGCAUUCAGGGUGGAUAAAAAUCAAUGAUUUUUUUCAAAAAUAAAAAAAAUAGGUUUUUUUAUUUAAAUCA